GGUCGCGUGGCCAAAUGGCAAGGCGUCUGGCUACGAACCAGAAGAUUGUGGAUUGUGGGUUCGAUCCCCACCGUGACCU
rnacentral:tRNA from 1 species